rnacentral:rRNA from 1 species
UACAGAGGGUGCGAGCGUUGUCCGGAAUCACUGGGCGUAAAGGGCGCGUAGGUGGUGGCUUAAGCGUGCGGUGAAAGCUCGGAGCUCAACUCCGAGUCGGCCGUGCGAACUGGGCUCACUGGAGCAUAGUAGAGGCAGGUGGAAUUCCGGGUGUAGCGGUGGAAUGCGUAGAGAUCCGGAAGAACACCGGUGGCGAAGGCGGCUCUCUGGGGACGGUACUGACGCUGAGACGCGAAAGCGUGGGGAGCGAACAGG